AGGUAUUUUGAUGAAGGACAUGGGAGCUGCCCGUUUGGAGGGAACGGUUUUUAUAAGCAUGUGUACCCUGAUGGCCGUAGAGAGGAGCCACAGAGACAGAAGGUGGGAACAUCAAGCAGAUACCCGGCCCAAUGAAGGAACCACUUCUGGGAACUCAUUGAGGAAAGAGAGAACAGCAGCCCCUUUGACAACGAUGAAGAAGAGGUUGUCACCUUUGAGCUGGGUGAGUUGUUGCUUAUGCUUUUGGCUGCAGUUGGGGACGAUGAACUAACAGACUCUGAAGAUGAGAGCGACUUGUUUCAUGAGGAGCUGGAAGAUUUUUAUGACUUGGAUCUAUAGCAACCUUGUGUGGCGUGUGAACUGGUCUGCUGACCCCAGACAGCAGCUGUUCCCUGUGGUGGUGUGGCAGUGCCUGUGUUCUCUCCUAGGCAGGCCUGUCAACUCCAGGUGCUGGCAUAAGAAUUUUUACCCAGGGCCUGUCUUUUCAACCCCUCACCUUUCCCCAAGGAGUGUGUUGUUUUCCCUCUUGAAAAAAAGUUAGAAAAAUAAAUCUUAAAGUUAGUUUUCUGAAAAAAAAAAAAAAAAAGAAAAAGGGAACUAGAAAAAUAAAAAAGAACAAAAAAUAAAUAAAAAAGAAAAAGGGAACUUGGCAAACAAUACCAAUCGAUUAUUAAAUUUUAGAGGUUUCCUUAGAGUCAGGAAGAUGAUGAGAUUGUGCUUACAGUUAAAAACUAUGAAGUCCUUAGUAGAGUCAAGAAAAGAUAUGAGAGGUAAGAAUUGGAAAGAAAACAAUAACUAUUUGAAGACAUGCUUAUCUAUGUAGAACUUAAAAUAGCAUCUAUGGACAAAUUAUUAAAAGGGUUUUUCAGGCACCAAUAAUAAUAAGAAAAAGUAAACAGAAAAUAAAAAUUCCAGUCUCAAUGGAACAAAAACAAUGUUACCUCUUAUUUUUAAUUAAAGAGGGGCAGCCUGUAAUCCCAGCACUUUGGGAGGCCGAGGUGGGUGGAUCAUGAGGUCAGGAGAUUGAGACUAUCCUGGCUAACACGGUGAAACCCCAUCUCUACUGAAAAUACAAAAAAUUAGCCGGGCAUGGUGGCAGGCGCCUGUAGUGCCAGCUACUCGGGAGGCUGAGGCAGGAGAAUUGCGUCAACCCGGGAGGUGAAGCCUGCAGUGAGCAGAGAUCACACCACUGCACUCCAACCUGGGCGACAGAGCGGUUUGAGACUCUGUCUCAAACAAACAAACAAACAAAAGCAGCAAAAUCAUUCUGGAGAAAAUUAUAAAACAUUGAAAA
rnacentral:lncRNA from 1 species